AAAACCUUUUCUUUAU
rnacentral:sRNA from 1 species